GUGUUCACUUCAGCAACACAUAUGCUAAGACUGGAAAAAUAUAUAGAAUAUUAGCAUGUUCCCUAUGCAAGGGAUAACAUGAAAAUUUGUGAAGGAUUCCAUAUAUAA
ensembl:snRNA U6 U6 spliceosomal RNA